rnacentral:rRNA from 1 species
AUCAAACAGGAUUAGAUACCCUGGUAGUCCACGCCGUAAACGAUGAUUACUGGUUGUUUGCGAUACACAGUAAGCGACUGAGCGAAAGCAUUAAGUAAUCCACCUGGGGAGUACGUUGGCAACAAUGAAACUCAAAGGAAUUGACGGGGGCCCGCACAAGCGGUGGAACAUGUGGUUUAAUUCGAUGAUACGCGAGGAACCUUACCUGGGCUUAAAUGGGGAGUGACAGGGGUAGAAAUACCCUUUUCUUCGGACACUCUUCAAGGUGCUGCAUGGUUGUCGUCAGCUCGUGCCGUGAGGUGUCGGGUUAAGUCCCAUAACGGGCGCAACCCCUGUUGUCAGUUACCAGCACGUAAAGGUGGGGACUCUGGCAAGACUGCCGGUGUAAACCGCGAGGAAGGUGGGGAUGACGUCAAAUCAGCACGGCCCUUACGUCCAGGGCUACACACGUGUUACUAUGUCCAGUACAAAGGGCAGCUACACAGCAAUGUGAUGCUAAUCUCGAAAACUGGUCACAGUUCGGAUUGGAGUCUGCAACCCGACUUCAUGAAGCUGGAAUCGC